rnacentral:ncRNA from 1 species
CCCAAGAGUCCACAUCGACGGGAAGGUUUGGCACCUCAAUGUUGGCUCUUCCCCACCUGGAGUUGUAGGUGGUUCCAAGGGUUGGGCUGUUCGCCCAUUAAUGCGGUACGUGAGCUGGGUUCAGAACAUCGUGAGAUAGUUCGGUCCAUAUCCGUUGUGGGCGUUAGAGCAUUGAGAGGACCUUUCCCUAGUACGAGAGGACCGGGAAGGACGCACCUCUGGUGUACCAGUUAUCGUGCCUACGGUAAACGCUGGGUAGCCAAGUGCGGAGAGGAUAACUGCUGAAAGCAUAUAAGUAGUAAGCCCACCCCACGAUGAGUGCUCUCUCCUCCG